rnacentral:rRNA from 1 species
UACGUAGGGUGCAAGCGUUGUCCGGAAUUACUGGGCGUAAAGGGCGCGUAGGCGGCCUGAUAAGUAGGGGGUGAAAUCCUGCGGCUUAACCGCAGGGCUGCCUUCUAAACUGUCAGGCUAGAGCACAGUAGAGGCAGGUGGAAUUCCCGGUGUAGCGGUGGAAUGCGUAGAGAUCGGGAAGAACAUCGGUGGCGAAGGCGGCCUGCUGGGCUGUUGCUGACGCUGAGGCGCGACAGCGUGGGGAGCAAACAGG